UCGACCGCCGGGGCGGCGAUCCCUCCAGUCCCUCGCUCUUUCGUGCCUUCGGGCCUCCGAGCGGUGCGCGCUGCCUGUGCCAUCUACCCGGUCCCUUGGGAAGCCGACGCGACCCACACGCCAGUCCGCCCCCUCCCCGCCUCGUCGGGCGAGGGGCGGCCGCGGCGCGGGCGUCGCGCGCCCCCGGACAAAGCGGCCGUCAGGCCCCCGUCCCGGCCGGGCUCCCGACGUCCCGCGAGCGCUCUCGGAUGCGGCGGAUGCUGCGGGUUUCGGGGACUUCGUUUCCCCGACCCGGACCUCGGUCGGUCGUCGAGCCGCCCUCGUCGAGAUUGACGUCCGGCCCGCCGUCGGGCCCUUCCGCCCCCCGCGGGCGGGCGGGCGACCCCGCGCUAGCGGCGCCGAGCGU
rnacentral:misc_RNA from 1 species